rnacentral:snRNA from 1 species
AUACCUUUCUCGGCCUUUUGGCUAAGAUCAAGUGUAGUAUCUGUUCUUAUCAGUUAAAUAUCUGAUAUGUGGGCCAUCGGCUCACACGAUAUUAACUUCAUUUAUUAAGGGAGAAGGCCCGUUAAGAUAGCUUGCCAUCUGGGCUUUCGCGAGUCGCCCACGGCGUUGCACUACUGCACGGGCCUGGCUCAUCCCAU